AAAGUACUCCCUCCGUCCCAAAAUUCUUGUCUUAGAUUUGUCUAGAUACGGAUGUAUCAAGUCACAUUUUAGUAUUAUAUACAUCCGUAUCUAGACAAAUCUAAGACAAGAAAUUUGGGACAGAGGGAGUAGUUG
rfam:Triticum aestivum genome assembly, contig: Triticum_aestivum_CS42_TGACv1_scaffold_090577_1DS